rnacentral:rRNA from 1 species
UACGAAGGGGGCUAGCGUUGCUCGGAAUCACUGGGCGUAAAGGGUGCGUAGGCGGGUUUUUAAGUCAGGGGUGAAAUCCUGGAGCUCAACUCCAGAACUGCCUUUGAUACUGAAGAUCUUGAGUCCGGGAGAGGUGAGUGGAACUGCGAGUGUAGAGGUGAAAUUCGUAGAUAUUCGCAAGAACACCGGUGGCGAAGGCGGCAUCCUGGACCAACACUGACGCUGAGGAGCGAAAGCCAGGGGAGCAAACGGG